GACGAACGCUGGCGGCGUGCUUAACACAUGCAAGUCGAACGGAAAGGCCCUGCUUUUGUGGGGUGCUCGAGUGGCGAACGGGUGGGUAACACGUGAGUAACCUGCCCUUGACUUUGGGAUAACUUCAGGAAACUGGGGCUAAUACCGGAUAGGAGCUCCUGCUGCAUGGUGGGGGUUGGAAAGUUUCGGCGGUUGGGGAUGGACUCGCGGCUUAUCAGCUUGUUGGUGGGGUAGUGGCUUACCAAGGCUUUGACGGGUAGCCGGCCUGAGAGGGUGACCGGCCACAUUGGGACUGAGAUACGGCCCAGACUCCUACGGGAGGCAGCAGUGGGGAAUAUUGCACAAUGGGCGGAAGCCUGAUGCAGCAACGCCGCGUGCGGGAUGACGGCCUUCGGGUUGUAAACCGCUUUCGCCUGUGACGAAGCGUGAGUGACGGUAAUGGGUAAAGAAGCACCGGCUAUCUACGUG
rnacentral:rRNA from 1 species